rnacentral:tRNA from 1 species
GGGGAUGUGGCUCAGGGGUAGAGCGCAUGCUUAGCACGCGUAAGGUCCUGGGUUCCAUCCCCAGUACCUCCA